rnacentral:lncRNA from 1 species
GACACUUCUCAGAAGAGACUUUUCUCACUUGUCCAACAGCUAGUUUCUGCUUCCUACCAACUAAACGAAGUUUCUGCUCCCUAGCAAGACUCACAAGAUACAGGUGGAAGUUUUUCUCUUCUUGGCUAAGUACUGAGGAUUGAACCCAGGGCCUUCGCACGGAGCUACAUUUCCACACUGUUUUUAUUUCGACCCCUUUUCUGAGACAGAGUCUUGCUAAGUGGCUCAGUGGCCCAGGCUGGGCUUGAACUUGCGACCCUCCUGCCUCAGCCUCCCAGACCACACCAUCAUGCCCAUCCAUGUCCGCCACGGUCUAACGAUGUGACCUUCAGCAAGCUUCUCCGUGAGGCGGAAAUUCAGCCCUCCCUCCUCGCUGCUCAGCAUGGCGUGAUUCCCCAGGCAAGCUUGCUCCACGGGAUGUGUUCUAGCCCGGCCCAAGUAUGUGCCGCUCUGGGCCGCAUAGGGAAAACAUCUACACUAUUCCAAACGCACCAAAUGUUUUAAGCGGUUAUUGUCCAAAUGUUUAUUUUUUUUCCCCCGAUGCUGGGAUGGAGCCCAGGGCCACUCUUCCACCAGCUACAUCCCCAAGCCCUUUUUCCCUGGGUCAAGGUCUUGGGCCUGGGACUCGUCAUCCUCCUGACUCAGCCUCCAGAGUAGCUGAAAUUCCUGGCGAGCUCUGCUUCGCCUUGAGGUCCAAAUCACUUUGGAAACCAAUCUUUAUUUUGUUCCAAUUAUAAAUACCCCGGGUGUUUUAGGAACUGGGAAAUGCAGAAUAUCUGCUAUUAUAGACGCGGCAGUUAUUUGAAGAGCUGGGAAGAGCAGAACGCUCGGCGCGCGCUCUGCCGCUCUUGUUCUCCGUGGCCUUGUUCCCCACAGCUCAGACGCGCACAGCUGGGUGUCCGCCGACCGGGUGGGCGAGAAGAGGGAGCAGCCCACGCCCUGCGGAGCGUCCUUCAGCCCGGAGGGAAUCCUGAUGUCUGCGAUGGCGCAGGAGGUCUCGCGAGAGGCCGGAAAAGCAGACGCUGCGGCCUCAUUUACCUGUGGCACUGACAGCACCGAAGGCUGUAACUCAAGACUGUGUAAGUCAAAACUAAAAUUCCGGUUGUAACCCAAGUUGUUUGUAUGUCAGGAGGUUGUUACUCGAGUGUCCACUGUAUGCUCUAGGAUGAGCAGGCCCUGGGGUCUGGGACGGCCCGGGGGAACAGUUGCU